GGUUGUGGCUCAGUGGUAGAGCACUUGCCUAGCAUGUGUGGGACACUGAGUUUGAUUCUCAGCACCA
rnacentral:tRNA from 1 species